rnacentral:lncRNA from 1 species
AUUAUUCCAUUUUGAUCAAACAAGAGAAUCAGAAUAUAUUCAAUUCAGAAUAAUGUGCUUUAAUUUAUCGUAUGGUUAAGGCAAAGCUAAAGAGCUAGGAAAGUCAAUUUUAACUUAAUGAAAUUUCCCUUAAUUGUAACUAGAGGUGUUCAUGGUUUGGAUAAAAAUUGAUCCAAAUCGAAAAAUCAAGCCAAAUCGAUUAAAUGAACCGAUUUAAUUUGGAUUUUGGUUUGGUUUGGUUUUAGAUUGUUAAGAACCGAUAGUCAUUGGUUUGGUUAUGAUUUUGUUCGAAAAAAAUCGAAGAAAUAACUGAACCGAACCAACAAGUUAUAUACAUGAAUUUUAUUAUUAUACAUACAUAAUAUAUUAUAUUCAUAAACAAUUUUAAAGAUUUUAUAUAUGUUUCAUCAAAAUUUAUUUAUAAUUUACUUAUGAAAGAAAAAAUGUCCAAGGUGAGAACAUUUUUCUUAUUGGUUUCAUGUAUAUGAGUGUCU